rnacentral:rRNA from 1 species
UACGAGGGGUCCUAGCGUUGUUCGGAAUCAUUGGGCGUAAAGGGUGUGUAGGUGGCUAUGUAAGUCAGGUGUGAAAGCCCCGGGCUCAACCCGGGAAGUGCAUCUGAUACUGCGUAGCUUGAGUACCGAAGAGGAUAGUGGAAUUCCAGGUGUAGUAGUGAAAUACGUAGAUAUCUGGAGGAACACCGGUGGCGAAGGCGGCUAUCUGGUCGAGUACUGACACUGAGACACGAAAGCAUGGGGAUCAAACAGG